rnacentral:lncRNA from 1 species
UGUUUACCAAAUCAUUCGUUCUAUCUUUGUCGAGCAAAAGAGAAUUGCUAAGCUCUUGCAGCUCUCGCAGGUAUUGCUGAUCUUCCGGGUUUAACAUUUAUCUGCAUAAUAAGAUUUUAGUAAUUCAAACAAAGGCCUAAACCAUAAAUCUUCCCUAAACCCUAAAGAGUUGGUGAAAGGUGGAAUUCCACGGAUAUAGAAAAACAAGAAUAAUAAACUGAAGACAAGAGAGGUAAUGUGUUAACCACUAUAAAGUUUCUAGAUUAACAUGCUAAUAGAGAUUAUGAUGUAAACCCACAAAAGAAUAGCUUUCAUCUAAAUCAAGUAGUCUACUCCACCAUGAUUAUUAUUAUUACUAUUAUUUUUUUAGAUUCAAACUAAACAAUUGAUACACUCGACUACGAUCACCUACAGAAAUACACGAAAGUUGACGAGCAACAACAUAACAGAAGAAGCCAACAAAGUUAAAGGCAGAAAAUAAUAAGGAACCUCACUCACCUGAUGAUGGAAGGGACAGACGGGAGCCAAAGAUAGCAAGGAAAGGGUCAAAUGCAAGUGAGAUGAUGCCGUUUCAUCUAAGAAUGAUCAAAUACAAGUGAGACCUCACACAAAUUCAAGGAAUAAUGUCAGUUCAUUAAAAAAGUAAAACUAAAGUAAAUAUGAUGAUAAAUAAAUGUGCAACCAAAAAAUGGGAAUCUUUCUUCCAGACCAAAUAAAAUUAACAAAAGGUUCUUACUUUAAAAACUCUUCUUUUGCAUAAAACAAUUAGGAGAAAAACAAACCCCUAUUCCAAAAAUGGAAACUGACAAUUGUCACAGCAGCUAAAUUUCCAGAGAUGUCAACAAAUAAGCCUAUCUAAAAUCUUCCAUACUAAGGCUCAAAUUUUUUUCCAUUUUUGCUGUGAACUGCAGAUGAGUAAGGCAAUGAUGAGCCGUUGGAUUUCUGACAUUUAUGGACAGAAAAUCAACAGAUUUGAUUAAAUUAGUUUACACGAGCACUGAAAGUGGGGAACUUGAAAAUUAAAAAAAUGUUUACGGCUGAUUGUAUCACUGAGCCCCAGUGGAGUGGCGCCAACAUUAAUGAUUCCGGCUUUAAGAAUUUGGCGAAAUCAUCGGCGAUAACGGAUGGAGUUCAAGUUCCCUUUUCUUUUUUCUACUCUUCAAUUUUAACUUCAUCAAUUUUCUAGCAGUAGCACCUCCAUGGAGCUCGAGAGGGCAAUAACUUUCAAGCGCCAAAACAAAUUUAAGAAAAUCCUUUUUUAUUUUUCACAUGUUCAAGAGAUAUUGAUAACUUAUAUUAUUAGUUUCAAUCCUAUUAAUAGACUAAAUCUUCAGAAAUGUUAAAAGUUUUUUCGUCAAUAUUGUUUAAUGUGAAUUGAUUACUCCUUUACUCGAUCCAACUUACCUAGUCCUUCCUUCUCACAAGAUAAAAUGCUUGAGAAUCAGCCCAAUUUUUCUUAAUCCACAAAAUGGCAGUAGCUAUAUAGACAUUAUACACACUAAACAAAGAAACAAUCCUACUUAAAAUGGAGGAGUACCUCAGUCAUAAUGCCACAAACCCUGCCUCGAGCUAAACAUAACCCAAAUGACCAAGGAACCUCACAAAUUCAACUUAACAGAGUCAUAGAACCAAUGGAACGACUUGUUGGCUGAGAACACAGCCAUUUAACACAAUUUCAAAUUUAAAGUAUACCAACAAUGUAUUUGUGGG